UGUCGGUUCGUGUGCGCAGGUACACGAUGAAAAGAGAAUCAGGUGAAAGUCCUGAACAGACCCGCUGCUGUAAGUUUCUUGCGGUUGCACAGUUGCAACCCGAAUGCCGGUACAAGCAAAGCCAUUGCGGAAACAUCAGUCCGUGAGAAGGCGUACCAAGCAGGAAACAAGUCAGAAGAACUGCCGAUACUAU
rnacentral:ncRNA from 1 species